UUGACCUCAAAUCAGGUAGGACUACCCGCUGAACUUAAGCAUAUCAAUAAGCGGAGGAAAAGAAACUAACAAGGAUUCCCCUAGUAACUGCGAGUGAAGCGGGAAAAGCUCAAAUUUAAAAUCUGGCGGUCUUGCGGCCGUCCGAGUUGUAAUCUGGAGAAGCGUUUAUCCGCGUCGGACCGUGUACAAGUCUUCUGGAAGGGAGCGUCGUAGAGGGUGAGAAUCCCGUCUUUGACACGGACAACCGGUGCUUUUGUGAUGCGCUCU
rnacentral:rRNA from 1 species